rnacentral:lncRNA from 1 species
UGGGUAUGAAACCAAGUUCACGUAACAUACACGUAUUUUGGUUGACAUGAUUUGCAAAAAACUUAUAAAUUACGAGUGUUUGAAUUAUGUUUAAUAUCGUCCUUACUCCCACGCUUUAUAAUCAUAUUUCGCGUUUUAAUUUGACACCAGUUUAUCCGUACCCUUCCGUACCAGGCACCAUGAUAUUUGAAAAUAUGUCAUGCACAUGCCUAUCCACGUGUCUAGUUUACACCAAUAAGAGGGUGCGAAAUUUUGGCGCAAAGUACAUGGAUCUAAACUAAAAGACGGUUGAUAAUUGUGCUCUAUCUCGCUCGAAGCAGUUCGGUACUGAAGUACAUAAACAUUCUCCGCUUUGCGUCUGGGAUAUCUUCAAAGGUCAAAGUAAAAGCUAUGUUACACGAACUGUAUCAAGAUUCAGUACGAUUGUAGAAGGUAAGCUCAAUUAUGCUUUUAAUAUAAAUAUGUAUUCGUGUUUACCCAUACACUUGGCUCUAAGAUGUCAUGUCUUAAAUCGUUAAAUCGUAGAACCAUUUUGUUCUGUUGUCUAACUUUGUCCACUGUUUAUGUUGCUCUUCCUAUUAUUGGAUCUAUAUUAAAGUACAUACCAUGUAUUAAUUGCAGUCUGCGUUCUUGUUCAAACUAAAUAAAAUAUAAUUGCAAAAUAUCUUGGUGCGCAUUCACGCAAUUAUAACCAACUGCCGCGUAAUACACUAAUUAUCGUAUGUUUAUUGCGUUAUUUACAGGGUGCGCAAAUAUAAAUUGCUGGAUGAUAUACUGUAUAUUCUACACAUUAAUGCAUGUAAGUAAAUCGGCCUCGUUUGGCGCUCUUUCAACUUGCAUCAGUGGAAAUUUGUUUCACGCCUUUAUCACUGGUACAUAAUUUAAUACUUGUAGUAGCUAGUGUAUACACCAAAGCUUGCGUCAAACACGUUACGAAAUCUUUCUCGUAUUCAACAAGCAAACGUUGUCGUUGUGCAAAGGCUUCUUUGUGUAAUAUGUACAGUAUUGUCUGGGUAUCGAAGGAAUUUGAGCUUGCCUUUUAGUUUAGGUAUGCCAAAUAUGUUGCGUGCUUGCCUGAAGGUCAUGGUCACACUAAAAAACGUUGUACAUGUUGCUUGCUAUAUUUUGCAAUAAUUUUAUACAUGUACUAUCUAUGCAGAAAGCGGCUUUAUACAGUACUUCCUUUAUAUCGAUUAUUAACGAUUCAGCCAGAUGUAGAAAUAGGCUCGAUUAAACUAAAAAAAUCGUAAGUCAACAAUAUUUCAAUAUACAGUACUUCAACAGAAUUCGUUGAUUGCAUGUCAUACCAAGUAAAUUUCGUUUAUAUUGUAUUCGGUUGCAUGUGUGCAUUUUGGGUUCAAGCAAGCAAGCAUUCUACCAUAAUUGUCACCGCGAGUCUGCGACCUUACAAAUUAAUUAAAGAUUAUAGAUUCAAUACCUUCGCUUCAAAGCAUAUGUCCCCUGGAUUUUCUAUAGCUAGUGGACAAAUUCCCCUCUGGAAAGUGACUCAAUAUAACAAAUUUCAUUCUCUAUCUGCCCCAAACUCAUUAAAGUUCAACAAUUAUAGCUAAAAAUACAAUAUAAUUUCAGGAAUGAUGAAAGUUUUCCCAAGACAAACACAGAGAGACAAACAUAUUAAAUGAGGAAAAGAGUCCCAAAAAUAAAAAUCUGG